UAACGCGUGAGGAACCUGCCUCAGAAGGGGGGACAACAGUUGGAAACGACUGCUAAUACCGCAUAAGCCCACAGCUCGGCAUCGAGCAGAGGGAAAAGGAGUGAUCCGCUUUGAGAUGGCCUCGCGUCCGAUUAGCUAGUUGGUGAGGUAGUGGCCCACCAAGGCGACGAUCGGUAGCCGGACUGAGAGGUUGAACGGCCACAUUGGGACUGAGACACGGCCCAG
rnacentral:rRNA from 1 species